AUUGAACGCUGGCGGCAGGCCUAACACAUGCAAGUCGAGCGGAUGAAGGGAGCUUGCUCCUGGAUUCAGCGGCGGACGGGCGAGUAAUGCCUAGGAACCUGCCUGGUAGUGGGGGAUAACGUCCGGAAACGGGCGCUAAUACCGCAUACGUCCUGAGGGAGAAAGUGGGGGAUCUUCGGAUCUCACGCUAUCAGAUGAGCCUAGGUCGGAUUAGCUAGUUGGUGGGGUAAAGGCCUACCAAGGCGACGAUCCGUAACUGGUCUGAGAGGAUGAUCAGUCACACUGGAACUGAGACACGGUCCAGACUCCUACGGGAGGCAGCAGUGGGGAAUAUUGGACAAUGGGCGAAAGCCUGAUCCAGCCAUGCCGCGUGUGUGAAGAAGGUCUUCGGAUUGUAAAGCACUUUAAGUUGGGAGGAAGGGCAGUAAGUUAAUACCUUGCUGUUUUGACGUUACCAACAGAAUAAGCACCGGCUAACUUCGUG
rnacentral:rRNA from 1 species